rnacentral:rRNA from 1 species
AUUGAACGCUGGCGGCAGGCCUAACACAUGCAAGUCGAGCGGAGCGGCGGGCGGGCGAGUAAUGCCUAGGAAUCUGCCUGGUCGUGGGGGAUAACGUCCGGAAACGGGCGCUAAUACAGCAUCCUAUCAGAUGCGCCUAGGUGUGAUUCGCUGGUGGGUGGGGUAAAGGCCUACCAAGACGACGAUCCGUAACUGGUCUGAGAGGAGGAGCAGUAACACUGGAACGGAGACACGGUCCAGAUCCCUACGGGAGGCAGCGGAGGGGAAUAUUGGACAAGGGGCGAAAGCCGGCUCAGGCCAUGCCGGGUGGGUGAAGAAGGUCUUCGGAUUGAAAAGCACUUUAAGUUGGGAGGCGUUACCAACAGAGUAAGCACCGGCUAACUUCGUGCCAGCAGCCGCGGUAAUUC